rnacentral:rRNA from 1 species
ACCUUACCAACUCUUGACAUGGUAGUCGCGAAAAAUGGAGACAUUUUUCUUCAGUUUGGCUGGACUACACACAGGUGUUGCAUGGCUGUCGUCAGCUCGUGUCGUGAGAUGUUGGGUUAAGUCCCGCAACGAGCGCAACCCUUAUUCUUAUUUGCCAGCGGGUAAUGCCGGGAACUAUAGGAAAACUGCCGGUGCUAAGCCGGAGGAAGGUGGGGAUGAGGUCAAGUCAUCAUGGCCCUUAUGAGUUGGGCUACACGCGUGCUACAAUGGUACCUACAGAGUGAUGCGAUACGGUGACG